GGGAAUAUUGCUCAAUGGUAGAGUUUUAGUCUUCCAUGCUGGUGGGUGGAGGUUCAAUUCCCUUCGGGCCCA